AUGCACGCUGGCGGCGUGCCUAAUACCUGCAAGUCGAGCGAACAGACGAGGAGCUUGCUCCUCUGACGUUAGCGGCGGACGGGUGAGUAACACGUGGAUAACCUACCUAUAAGACUGGGAUAACUUCGGGAAACCGGAGCUAAUACCGGAUAAUAUAUUGAACCGCAUGGUUCAAUAGUGAAAGACGGUUUUGCUGUCACUUAUAGAUGGAUCCGCGCCGCAUUAGCUAGUUGGUAAGGUAACGGCUUACCAAGGCAACGAUGCGUAGCCGACCUGAGAGGGUGAUCGGCCACACUGGAACUGAGACACGGUCCAGACUCCUACGGGAGGCAGCAGUAGGGAAUCUUCCGCAAUGGGCGAAAGCCUGACGGAGCAACGCCGCGUGAGUGACGAAGGUCUUCGGAUCGUAAAACUCUGUUAUUAGGGAAGAACAAAUGUGUAAGUAACUAUGCACGUCUUGACGGUACCUAAUCAGAAAGCCACGGCUAACUACGUG
rnacentral:rRNA from 1 species